rnacentral:lncRNA from 1 species
GAAAGCUGUGUCUGUGGAGAACGGCAUGAUCAUCAAUGUGCUGGAGCAUGGCACACAGCAGGUGGCAGACUUGACUCUGAACUUAGAUGACUAUAUUGAUGCAGAAGACUCCGGCAACAUAAACCCUCCACCCGAUGCAGUCGCGGUCACAGCGCUAUAAGAACAGAAUGCAUUUUGGAUGUUAUUAUUAAGAACCAAAUGUCAAUACAGAAUUCAUGUUGCCG